rnacentral:rRNA from 1 species
AUUGAACGCUGGCGGCAUGCCUUACACAUGCAAGUCGAACGGUAACGGGCCUUCGGGUGCCGACGAGUGGCGAACGGGUGAGUAAUACAUCGGAACGUGCCCGAUCGUGGGGGAUAACGAGGCGAAAGCUUUGCUAAUACCGCAUACGAUCUACGGAUGAAAGCAGGGGACCGCAAGGCCUUGCGCGGACGGAGCGGCCGAUGGCAGAUUAGGUAGUUGGUGGGAUAAAAGCUUACCAAGCCGACGAUCUGUAGCUGGUCUGAGAGGAUGAUCAGCCACACUGGGGCUGGGACGCGGCCCAGACUCCUGCGAGAGGCAGCAGUGGGGAAUUUUGGACAAUGGUCGCAAGCCUGGUCCAGCCAUGCCGCGUGCAGGAUGAAGGCCUUCGGGUUGUGAACUGGUUUUGUACGGAACGAAAAGCCUUCUUUUAAUACAGGGGGGGCAUGACGGUACCGUAUAAAUAAGCACCGGCUAACUACGUG